AAAAUCUUUAAAUGAUGCAUAUUUUUUCUUUAAAAUACACGGAGUGAAAUUUGAAGUAAAUGAUUCAUCUGCAAUAACGAUAGGCGAACAGCUGGCGUUUGCAGAUCUUGUGAAAGAAAUCUUCAACGCUGGAAGCGGCAAUGGUCCAUUUUAUGUGAAGUUUUUGUCUGGAGCAUUGAACUGAAAUAUAAUUCAACACUAUGAAAAUGAUUCGUUUGCGGGACGUAAAGUUUAGCGGACACAAUGCUUGCUUAUUCCUUUUCCAAAAAAUGAUUGUAGCGAUAGGGAACUGCAUAUUUUCUGGAUGAAGAGCAUAAACGAUAUGAACAAUUACCGUGUACUUCGUUUGUUUAAAAGCCAAGAAGGUCAUUGACAAAAAUGGGCAAUAUAAAUGACGAAAUGUUAUAACAUUAUUCCACAAAGAUACUCGGCGAUUACUUGCCACAUCGAUAUCCGUCGGCGGUAACUUUUGAACACGUUACACUCUUUUCGUUAAUAUAGAAUUAAUAGCCGAGGAGAAUAUAAAAAGCUUGAACUGUUAAGGAACAGUACGGAAUCCAUUACAUCGUGUUGAAUUAUUUUUUAUUGUGCUAAAAUUAUAAAGUUUAUCUUGUGGGUAUGUUAAAAAUAAACUUAUUCAAGACGUU